rnacentral:rRNA from 1 species
GACGAAGGGGGCUAGCGUUGUUCGGAAUUACUGGGCGUAAAGCGCGUGUAGGCGGUUAUCCAAGUCAGGUGUGAAAGCCUUGAGCUCAACUCAAGAAAUGCACUUGGUACUGGGUGACUAGAGGACCGGAGAGGAUAGUGGAAUUCCCAGUGUAGUGGUGAAAUACGUAGAGAUUGGGAAGAACACCAGUGGCGAAGGCGGCUAUCUGGACGGUUUCUGACGCUAAGACGCGAAAGCG